rnacentral:rRNA from 1 species
UAAUACGUAGGGUGCGAGCGUUAAUCGGAAUUACUGGGCGUAAAGCGUGCGCGGGCGGUUUUGUAAGACAGGCGUGAAAUCCCCGAGCUCAACUUGGGAAUUGCGCUUGUGACUGCAAGGCUAGAGUAUGUCAGAGGGGGGUAGAAUUCCACGUGUAGCAGUGAAAUGCGUAGAGAUGUGGAGGAAUACCGAUGGCGAAGGCAGCCCCCUGGGACGUCACUGACGCUCAUGCACGAAAGCGUGGGAGCAAACAGGAUUAGAUACCCUGGUAGUCCACGCCCUAAACGAUGUCAACUAGUUGUUGGGGAUUCAUUUCUUCAGUAACGUAGCUAACGCGUGAAGUUGACCGCCUGGGGAGUACGGUCGCAAGAUUAAAACUCAAAGGAAUUGACGGGGACCCGCACAAGCGGUGGAUGAUGUGGAUUAAUUCGAUGCAACGCGAAAAACCUUACCUACCCUUGACAUGCCACUAACGAAGCAGAGAUGCAUCAGGUGCCCGAAA